rnacentral:rRNA from 1 species
UAGGGAAUCUUCCGCAAUGGACGCAAGUCUGACGGAACAACGCCGCGUGAGUGAAGAAGGAUUUCGGUUCGUAAAACUCUGUUGUUAGAGAAGAACAGCGCAUAGAGUAACUGUUAUGCGUGUGACGGUAUCUAACCAGAAAGCCACGGCUAACUACGUGCCAGCAGCCGCGGUAAUACGUAGGUGGCAAGCGUUGUCCGGAUUUAUUGGGCGUAAAGCGAGCGCAGGCGGUCAAUUAAGUCUGAUGUGAAAGCCCCCGGCUCAACCGGGGAGGGUCAUUGGAAACUGGUUGACUUGAGUGCAGAAGAGGAGAGUGGAAUUCCAUGUGUAGCGGUGAAAUGCGUAGAUAUAUGGAGGAACACCAGUGGCGAAGGCGACUCUCUGGUCUGUAACUGACGCUGAGGCUCGAAAGCGUGGGUAGCAAACAGG